rnacentral:rRNA from 1 species
GGCUCAUGAUCAACACCCAUAAUCUACACCAGUUUUAGUAUCCAAAACGGAUAUCUGCGUUAAUUUUGGAGGUAAUUCGUGCACCAACGUGCUGCUAGCAAUAGUGGCACGCACUUUAUUAGAUCAAGGCCGAUUGGGGCAACCCUUUUGGUGACUCUCAAUAAUUUUGCGGAUCGUAUGGCCUUGUACCCACGACGGACUGGUCGAGUGGGUGCCCUAUCAACUAUUGAUGGAAGUCUAUGUGUCUUCCACGGGUGUAACAGGUAACGGAGAAUAAGGGUUCGACUCCGGAGAGAUAGCCCUAGAAACGGCUAUCACAUCCAAGGAAGGCAGCAGGCGCGUAAAUUACCCACUCUCAAUUCGAGGAGGUACAGACUAUCAAUAACGAGACAGAUCUCUUUGACGUCUGUCAGUGCAAGGAGCACAACUAAAAGACUUUAACGAAGUCUAUGGGAGGGCAAGUCUGGUGCCAG